UGUCUUUGUUGAUCAUUUGGAGUGCAAGAGAAGCAUGCUGACUGAGUUAAUGUUAGCUUGCUAGUAAUACAAAACGAUAAGAGGGCACUGACACGGGAAAAGGCCCCAAAACUAGCAUGUUCAUGUUCGCUACAGUUGUGGCUGGAAAUGGCUUUACUGCAGCCAUUAGUUACCUCUUGCUUGUUAAUUGCAUUUUGAAAAGACAGCGUACCGAAGCGUUCAGUUAAGCUAAUUUGAAUGCCACACGAUAUGAAAAUCAUUGAUUGUUUAGCUAAACAGACAACAGUUAUACAUUUCGUAGCUAUCUUGUUGCAUUGGUACUGCCUUGAUUUCUGAGAUGAAUCUGUCAAUUGGGCAUUCAUGAUUUCCAUUCAGUACUUUAUCACUGUGACUUGUAGGUUGCGCCAAAUUAAUACAGACAAGGGGAUAAUACUCAAAUGUCUAGCUAGCUAAAUACACAGACUACACGCUUGCUCUGUGAUGCAGAUAGAGUGUUAUAACAUUGGGUCAUUCAAGACUAGAAAAUGAAACUAGCUAGGUAGUUAUACGGGCAAUUAACGGUGCUUCCCUACCCUCAUCGGAAAGGAGUGGUUGCAAUGGAAUGAAUGGCGCAGGACAAUGUUGAGCUUUACAGCUGAUGCCGGAACCUGCACCUGUAUCUACAUUCAGAGGACAAUCAUCCACUCAUCUUCCAAUGUACUGCAAAAUUACACAUUAAUGACUGUCUGUGUACUUACUGCACUAUUAAUAAACAUCUCUACUUCUCUUAACUGACUAAUUUCCAGGAGUAUAGAAAUAUUAAUUUGACAGUUUUUGUAAUCACUGUGUGCAGUAAAGUAACCUAUAUGUAAAGGUGAGACCAUCGUGCUUCAUUGAAGACCGUGUAGCAGUGUGCUGAGUAUACAAAGUGUGCUUUUGCCCGGAAAUCUUUUACUUGCUUCUAAUUUCUCAGUUUGGUGAGUGAAAACAGCGGGGGCAUGUAGCUCAUGGUUUUGCAAUGCGACUGCUCUGGGUUCUGGAGCAUAGUGAGCUUAUUGAUUAGGCAGAAUUCAGAGUGAGUUUUGUGGAAUUCCCAGGCUAGUGGAAAUGGGGAAAGUCUGCAGUGAUGUAAUUGAGUUGCAGAAACAAACAGGAACCCCCUACAGUAUGUCACCCAUUCCAUGGACUUUCAUUUUCAACUAGAGUCCCUGCUGGAAAGUCCCAUGAAGAAUACAACAAAAGUACUGAAUAUUCUUUUGUCACGUUUCAUACAGAAAAAAACAGUGUUUUUUGUACAGCUGGAAACCCUCAUUAAAUUGUAAUAUCAAAUGUACAGAGCAGUAUUUAGGCAUAGUUUUUUAUUGUCACUAUGAAUCAGUAAUUGAAUAAGUAACCUUAUAAUAGUAGGCAAUAUUUUAGAAUUUAUGUUGCAAUACAUUCUUAUAUAUGCAGAGUAGUUGAAUCUGGUUUAAGAAGCUGGCAAUUGGCCUACCACUCAGAAAAAUAUGUGUUUGUUACUCAUUUGUUGAACUUUCAAAUCUUUGGCAUGGCUUUCCUUCCUUAUGUUUUUAGUUUGUGAUAUUUGAGUAUCUGCCUCCUUUCGUGUAAACUUACUAUUGUUGAAUGCAGACCGAAAUAAAAAUUUCAUUUCAUUUCA